rnacentral:rRNA from 1 species
GCAGUGAGGAAUUUUCCGCAAUGGGCGAAAGCCUGACGGAGCMAURCCGCGUGAGGGAUGAAGGAYUAUGGKCUGUAAACCUCUUUUCUCAAGAAAGAAGUUMUGACGGUACUUGARGAAUAAGCAUCGC